CCAGAGAUGAAAAAAUUGCUGAUUUCUCGAAAACUGAAAGUUGUAAUAUUUUCGCAUUAUUUCUUUGUCAAGGUGCUAUCGCAAGCAGCGUUGCCAAAUUUUCUUCGAUUUUUUCGUCGCGGUCAGCGCUCGCGAAAAAUAGAAAACCAGAAAUCGAAAAAUUGCAGAUUUUUCGAAAACCAGAAACUAUACUAUUUUCAUAUUAAUUCUCGUACGAGACACCGUCGCGAGCAGUGUCCUGAAUUUUUUCCGAUUUUUUGUCCAUGUGCGCCAUUGUUUAAAAAAAUGUCGAGAAAUUUUGUUUCCGUAAAGUACAGUUUAAUCGCAAUUUGUAUUACAAUGGUGCCAUUGUCAAUUUCCAGUUCUACUGUAAUGUCCUGAAUCGAACUUCCUUUUUUACACCUUCUUGUAACAAGAAGAACCAUUCAGUCCGUUCAAUUUCGUCCAUUCCAACGUUGCCAAAAGUCCUGCAAACCGAACCUGCGUUCAGGCGAGAAGAAUAACGAGAGAAUAGCGAGAAUAUUCAAAAUUCAUUUCAAAAUGGUAUGCUUUUUAUAAAACACGACUUUCCUGUACGAUUUAUAUUACUUCUCGCCUUCAUUAUAGCUGAAUUAUCGGCGAUAGUAAUUGACCGUUUUUGUUCAAUUUAGCGUUCGGAAUAAUUAUUGCACCUGAUAAAGAAAAAUGCAGAAAUUGUAUCGGCAUCGAUUCGGUGUGCUCGCGACAAAUUUAUCCAGCUCGAUAAUUCGAGGACUCGUUUCGCUUAGUAUAUAAAGCAGGGACCGGCGCAUCGUGGCAUGUCAAACGAGUCGAAAGUUUCGUAGAACGGUUUGCAACAAUGAAAGCGAAAUUAUUCGGGUUUGUUUUAUUUGUGCUGCUGGCAUCGGCGUUUAAUAUCGCGAACGUCGAAGCCAAGCCACUUGAUAGAUACGACGAGCAAUUCGUUGACUUCGGCUGAUCGUGCAACGUCUGUUCGGAUGUACAGUCAUAUCGUGUAACAGACAUCCCCGGACAUAAUCGAAGAAAUUCAAAUGGGAUCUACAUGUAACACAAAUAUGCUUUGUAAAAAAAUAAAAAUUGUCUACGAGUAA